GAUGAACGCUGGCGGCGUGCCUAAUACAUGCAAGUAGAACGCUGAAGCUUGGUGCUUGCACCGAGCGGACGAGUUGCGAACGGGUGAGUAACGCGUAGGUAACCUGCCUCUUAGCGGGGGAUAACUAUUGGAAACGAUAGCUAAUACCGCAUAAAAGUCGAUAUCGCAUGAUAUUGAUUUGAAAGGUGCAAAUGCAUCACUAAGAGAUGGACCUGCGUUGUAUUAGCUAGUUGGUGAGGUAACGGCUCACCAAGGCGACGAUACAUAGCCGACCUGAGAGGGUGAUCGGCCACACUGGGACUGGGACACGGCCCAGACUCCUACGGGAGGCAGCAGUAGGGAAUCUUCGGCAAUGGGGGCAACCCUGACCGAGCAACGCCGCGUGAGUGAAGAAGGUUUUCGGAUCGUAAAGCUCUGUUGUAAGAGAAGAACGAGUGUGAGAGUGGAAAGUUCACACUGUGACGGUAACUUACCAGAAAGGGACGGCUAACUACGUG
rnacentral:rRNA from 1 species